CAUUGGGACUGAGAUACGGCCCAGACUCCUACGGGAGGCAGCAGUGGGGAAUAUUGCACAAUGGGCGCAAGCCUGAUGCAGCGACGCCGCGUGGGGGAUGACGGCCUUCGGGUUGUAAACUCCUUUCGCUAGGGACGAAGCUUUUUGUGACGGUACCUAGAUAAGAAGCACCGGCUAACUACGUGCCAGCAGCCGCGGUAAUACGUAGGGUGCGAGCGUUGUCCGGAAUUACUGGGCGUAAAGGGCUCGUAGGUGGUUUGCCGCGUCGUCUGUGAAAUUCCGGGGCUUAACUCCGGGCGUGCAGGCGAUACGGGCAUAACUUGAGUACUGUAGGGGUAACUGGAAUUCCUGGUGCAGCGGUGAAAUGCGCAGAUAUCAGGAGGAACACCGAUGGCGAAGGCAGGUUACUGGGCAGUUACUGACGCUGAGGAGCGAAAGCAUGGGUAGCGAACAGGAUUAGAUACCCUGGUAGUCCAUGCCGUAAACGGUGGGCGCUAGGUGUGAGGGUCUUUUCACGACUUUCGUGCCGUAGCUAACGCAUUAAGCG
rnacentral:rRNA from 1 species